rnacentral:ribozyme from 1 species
AGUAGAAGGAAAUUAAAAAGGAAUAAAACAAACACGAGAUUACGCUGAAAAAUUCAUACACUACAGUUAUCAACGUUUUUCUUGUUCAGUAGUACUUCACUUGUUUUCCUUCCUUGAACUCCUUGAGCUUU